CUGCUUUUCGUCAUUAUCUUUCAACCCAAGUGCGUAUUCAGGAUGGAUAUGUUCUUUCUUCAGUUAUGGCCGAUAACUAAAAUGCCCCUACUUCGGAUCAACUCAUUAUCCCGAAUAAACGAUGUGUCAUUCCCAUUAUUUAUGUUUCACUGCAGCCAAAGUAUCUGGACCUCGUUUUGGCUGAUAUAAAUUUCCAGUGAGAAUGCUUUGAGCAUGAUGCCCUCCUUCUUCCAGGAAAUAAAGAAAGAGUGCCUGACACACAUAAGCAGGUAAGAUGUUUUUGCACGUUACAGAUUGCCUAACCAACAGUAGUGACUUGAGGUCUGGAUGUGGAGGUUGUGACCUACCAAAGCUGAAUUUUUCAGGCUGUCAAGAUCCGUCUGAAUGGUGGAGAACCAUCCGGUGCAUCAGCCAUUCCUUCCAGUUUUGUAUCCUCUGCAAAUUUGCUGAAGGGGCACUCUGUUCCAUCGUUUGGGUCAUUAAUGAAGAACUUGAACAGGAUUGGACCUCGUAUUGACCCUUGACCCCUGGGGUGCACUGCUAGUUGCUGGCCUCCAGCCAGACUUUAUGCCACUGAUCACAACCCUCGGAGCUUGGCCUUUUUUUUUUCUUCUUUCCCGAUCCACCUCACUCUCUGCUUAUCUAGCCCGCGCUUCCUGAGCUUGCCUAUGAGGAUGUUAUGGGAGCCAGUGCCAAAAGCCUCAGUGAAGUCAAGGAGGACAACAUCUACUGCCUUCCCCUCAUCUACGUAGGCAAUCUUUUCAUUGCAGAAGGCUAUCCGGUUGGUGAAGUAUGAUUUCUGCUUUGUGAAUCAAUGCCAUGCUGCAGCUGAUCCUGUGUUUGAUGGCACCAUGGAUCAAUACAAGUUUGGCCCAGUCAAAUUGAAAAAAACAAUACCUUUGAGAUGAGUUUUUGGUCUAGCAAUGUAUAAACGUUCACCAGACCCUGCCUCAAGGCCAUGCUAGCAGUCUUUUGUGUUCUGAAAUUAGCAGUGAUUCGUUCAUUCACAGCUGGACAGCAACGCGAUUCCUCUGGGAGGAACUCAUGACAUACGCCUCCAGCCACUGACACAAAAGGACCUAGUUUUGGCCUCCACUAAUUUAGCCAUGCUCUGAGUGCACCAGGUAGUGGCAGAGCUCCUGUAACAGGCCAUAUAUGAAAAUUAUUCAUGUAGAAUUAAGUGGAAUUAUGAUGUGGCAGUACCUAAAAAUACAGUGGCUCGCUGACACUGCAGAGCACCUUAGUGUCUUGCCUGGGAGGUGGUGAGUUUGCUUCCCCUGGGCUUGGCACUCCCCAAAGCCUCCUGAUUCUUUUCUUGUCCUCACAAGUCAGAGCAUGUCACGUCACAGAACUGAUAUAGCUGGGCAUGCUACUUCAGGGUUUCAGCAGAUCCUGUAUUUGGAGUAGUUUGAAAAGUGUCUAGUGGCUUUGUCACAUGGUUUUCCUGUAGUGUGAGACUAGCCGGCAAAGAGCCGUGAGCUCACAUGUUUAGAUGGCUUAGUUUGUGCACGCAGAUAACGUGGAUAUCUGCCUGGCACCGUUUUACAGCAACUGAACAUUCUUGACGCUGCCUCUUUUCAUCCUUCUGCUCCCCCUUCCUCAGAAGCAGAAUCAGCAGCUGUAACAACACAUGGAGGACACUUGGCAGCUGCAAGACACAGAUGCUGAGCUCCAUAAUAAACUUCUCCUGCAGAAGAAUCUGAGUGCUUUUGCUGGCUGCUUAAAAGUCCUUAUUGCUGUCUGAGUCACUUGCUCAACAAGCAGUUACAGCGUGCUGAUGGCUGUGGGUAAUCACUCUUGGGGUAUAAGGACCAACCUAAUUGACCUGCUUAGUCCUUUAGGAUGCUGCUAUAGCUUAGCUUUAAUAAUUUGUAACAGAAUUGCAUGCUUUCACAGUAGAUAUUAAAGAAUAAGGUCUUGUGCAAUGUUUAGUGGGCCAUUGUUUUUAUAUCUAGAGAUAGGCAAUGGGCCUGGUUUUGAUCACAAGUCACAACAGUGCAAACCAGAAAUAACUUCACUGUUGUUAAAGGGGUAUAAGCUGUUAAAAGACAAAUGUGAGUGAGGUCAGGUGCAAAGGAGAGCUUAAAAAGAAGUUUGUAUUGCCUGUUAAGGAAACAGCAUUUCUUUAAUAUCUCAGAAACUGGUGUUUUAGAAUUGGCCUACGAUAAGGUUGUAGAUAAGGACACAGGGUAGCAGGCUAAUGUUAGAAUAGCAGGAAGGCUCAUUUCAGAAAAGCCUUGCAGAAGUGUGUUUUAAGGAGGCAUUUGAAAUAGGAGAGAAUGGCCAACUUGGAAGGUUGUCCCCGAGUCUAAAGAGCACUGGGAAAGAAACCAGAGGCAGACGCUUGUGGAGAUAAGGGCAGGAACCAGGCAGCAAGUCUGGUACAUGGCCAAUACAGACAGGAGGGAUGCUAGAAAAAGAUGGUUGGAGACGCAGGCAAGAGAAGAGCUCUAAACGUGAGGACCUGCAGCUUAGUCUAGAUGCAUAACCUGAGGGGGAAGUGAUGAAGGAAAAUGAGUGGAGAGUGACAUGGUCAAUGUUGAGGGGAGAAAAUGAUGUUUUUGGACCAAAAAAUCCUUCCAUCUCUGCUUUUAUCUUGUCUGAGGAAAGCUAUAGUCACAACAAUAGAAAAGAUAUGACAUCAAUAGGAGUGGGAAGUGGGACAGAGACAUAGAAAAGGGUGCAGGGUAAUGUGAACAAGAGAGACCUCGUAAUCAACAAAACAGGGCUGAAGGGGGCCCGUCUGAAGCAUUUGCACACAAAUAAGGAAGUGCCAAGAAGAUAGCAUUAUAGGCAAAGCAGUCAUGCCCUUUCUGGGAAAUCAGUACAACUAGGGGUAUCUCUGAAGCUCAGGACUGAUGCACGCAGCACAGGGAACAAACAAGAGGAAUCGGAGGUGUGCACGCAGUGGCAGGGUUGUGGUCUCACUGGGAUCACAGAGACACGGUGGGAUAACUCAUAUAACUGAAGUUCUGCAAUGGAUGGAUACAGGA